AAAUCCCCGACGGCCCAUUUGGUACAGGGGGUUUCCACAGGCCGAUCCUCUCUAAUCCUCUUCAAUCCUCUCGAACCCACGCGACUCAGAACCCUCGUCGAGGGACUCAGGCAAGCACUUGUCGUAGCGCACGCCGCCAACCUCCUUCACGCCGCCGAGAGGAAUCCUACCGCCGGAUCUUCAACGCCCGCCGCCAUCGAGGGGAGGAGCCAUGCCGCCUGCUCACCGCGCCUCCUCCGCCGCCUGACGCCUUCUCCCCGGUGCUCAUGCGGCGCUGUGGUACGCGGAUGUCGAUGCAGAGUAGAGAGAUACCCCUAGAAGUCGCCUUCCUGUCCACCUCUUCAGAAGUGCCACCGCCUCGGACAUGGCGACAUUAGAACCCAGUUCCUUUCAUAGAGAUAUGGGGUCAGGAAAAUCCAGCAGUUCAUUUGUUCCUGCUAGUUAAACUUGGUCUGUUAUAGGGAUAUGCAGGUCCAUCUAAUUACAUGUUAUUCUGAAACUGUUUUAGCAAUGAUGUGGUGACAUUAGUCUGUAAUGCGUUGACAACGGCCACUACUUCAGGCAUUGCUAGAUGCAUUUCUCUACUGCCAUGUUGUUUCGUAGUAGUUUUGCUACUUUGCAUAUUUUGGGAGCAAGUACAAUGAGGUUAUAUGUUAUUUUUGUUCACUUGA